AGCAUCACACAGCCUAGUACAUGUCCGUACUCUCUUAAGCACAGGAUGUAGCAUUAAGGUCUGGAUUUGAGAAAGAACACAGGGCAUUUCAGGUAGAGGAAGAGCUACUAGCAUGCUGCUCCGCAGCCUGCUGAGGGCAGUUAUAGCCUCCAUCUGCCUUGGAUCCACCAUGGUCCAGGAGGUAACUCAAGAUCAGCCAGCAACAUCUGUGGUGGAGAAGGAGGCUGUGACCUUGGACUGUGUGUAUAAAACCCAAGAUACUAGUUAUGCUUUAUUCUGGUACAAACAACCACCAAGUGGGGAAAUGGUUUUCCUUAUUCAUCAGGAGUCUUACAAGGAGCAGAAUACAAGACAGGGUCGGUAUUCUCUGAACUUCCAGAAAGAAGCCAAAUCCAUCAGCCUUACCAUCACAGCUUCGCAGCCUGGGGACUCAGCAGUGUAUUUCUGUGCUCUGAGAGAUACCACAGUGAGAUAGGUGCCUGCAGGAGCCCCACAGAAACCUCAACAUGAGGCAGGGCUCCUGGGGUGAGACUGUCAUAGACAGGAAGAGGCAGGGGCUGCGUGAGCACAGGUGGGGGAGCCUCAGUUCAAUCAUAUUACGUGUUUAAACAUAUCACUCCUUAAAAGCAUACUAUCUUCUAUUCAUUAGAAUAGUUUGAAACAGC